UUGGAUCACCUCCUAACAGGGAGACAAACAACGAUUUUGAUGUCUGAGUUAUUUAUUCUUAGGCCAAAAUCCUGUCACUUUAGGUCGAUCGGUACCUCAACUUUUGAAGCUAAGAGAGUUCCAGCAAUGGUUGUCUGCUUAGUGGAGAUUUUUAGUUCCUAAACUUUGUCUAGUUCACAACCCAUUAGGGAUGAGACUCCUGGGCCAUUAGCUCAGGUGGUUAGAGCGCACCCCUGAUAAGGGUGAGGUCCCUGGUUCAAGUCCAGGAUGGCCCAUUCGGUGUAGGGGGUUUAGCUCAGUUGGUAGAGCGCCUGCUUUGCAAGCAGGAUGUCAGGAGUUCGAGUCUCCUAACCUCCACUGACUACCAAAAUCCCCAUCUCCAAAACCUGGAGUAUGAACUCGUAUGGAUUGUGAUUUAGAUUUGUCCGCUAGAUGACCCUAGCUUCUUGUCAUUUUAAGACAUGGAAAUAAUUCCAUGAUUUGAUUGAUAGGAUGCUGGGCUCGAUGCAAUGUAUUGAGAGAUCAAUGCAUUGUUUUGAUGUCUAGCCGAACCUUGACAACUGCAUAGUUUAAGUCUGGAAAGAAUAAAGCAUCUUUAUGGAUGCAUCAUUUUUAGUGCUAACGCAUGAAGGAGUGAUGUUAAUUCUAAAGCAAGAGCCGAGACUCCAGUAUGUUCUUUCAAAUGUGUCGAGCAUUUGAGAGUUUGAUUUUAAUUUCUAGUUUUAGGAGCUAUUUUUAGAGUCUGACUUUAGAAAUUAGAAAAAUCUGUUUCAACAACAGCAAGCGUGCUGGAGAUACAUUGGUCAAGCUACAAAGGGCUCACGGCGGAUACCUUGGCACACAGAGGCGAUGAAGGA
rnacentral:tRNA from 1 species